UACGUAGGGUGCGAGCGUUAGUCCGGAAUUACUGGGCGUAAAGAGCUCGUAGGUGGUUUGUCGCGUUGUUCGUGAAAACUCACAACUCGAAUUGUGGGCGUGCGGGCGAUACGGGCAGACUGGAGUACUGCAGGGGGAGACGUGGAAUUCCUGGUGUAGCGGUGGAAUGCGCAGAUAUCAGGAGGAACACCGGUGGCGAAGGCGGGUCGCUCGGGACGGUACUGACGCUGAGACGCGAAAGCGUGGGGAGCGAACAGG
rnacentral:rRNA from 1 species